rnacentral:rRNA from 1 species
UACGUAGGGUGCAAGCGUUGUCCGGAAUUAUUGGGCGUAAAGAGCUCGUAGGCGGUCUGUCGCGUCGGCUGUGAAAACUCGGGGCUUAACCCCGAGCCUGCAGUGGAUACGGGCAGACUAGAGGUAGGUAGGGGGAGAAUGGAAUUCCCGGUGUAGCGGUGAAAUGCGCAGAUAUCGGGAGGAACACCAGUGGCGAAGGCGGCGACCUGGGCCAAUACUGACGCUGAGGUGCGAAAGCGUGGGAGCAACAG